UCCAGAGGGAAGCCACUCCUUACUAAAAGGUACAUGGCAGCCCACCUUGAGUUUGCCAAAAAGCACCUGAUAGACUCUCAGACCAUGAGAAACAAAACUGUCUGGUCUGAUGAAUCAAAGAUUUAAGUCUUUGGUCUAACCUU